GUGAACGCUGGCGGUAGGCCUAACACAUGCAAGUCGAACGGCAGCACAGUAAGAGCUUGCUCUUACGGGUGGCGAGUGGCGGACGGGUGAGGAAUACAUCGGAAUCUACUUUUUCGUGGGGGAUAACGUAGGGAAACUUACGCUAAUACCGCAUACGACCUACGGGUGAAAGCAGGGGAUCUUCGGACCUUGCGCGAUUGAAUGAGCCGAUGUCGGAUUAGCUAGUUGGCGGGGUAAAGGCCCACCAAGGCGACGAUCCGUAGCUGGUCUGAGAGGAUGAUCAGCUACACUGGAACAGAGACACGGUCCAGACUCCUACGGGAGGCAGCAGUGGGGAAUAUUGCACAAUGGGCGCAAGCCUGAUCCAGCCAUACCGCGGGAGUGAUGAAGGCCUUCGGGUUGUAAAGCCCAUUUGUUGGGAAAGAAGAGCAGCAGGUUAAUACCCCGCUGUUCUGACGGUACCCAAAGAAUAAGCACCGGCUAACUUCGUG
rnacentral:rRNA from 1 species